CGGGGUGCAGCAGGCGCGAAAACUUUGCAAUGCGGGAAACCGUGACAAGGGAACUCUGAGUGCCCGUUAAAUCGGGCUGUCCAUCGGUUUAAAUAACCGGUGAAGAAAGGGCCGGGCAAGACCGGUGCCAGCCGCCGCGGUAAUACCGGCGGCUCGAGUGGUGGCCACUAUUACUGGGCUUAAAGCGUUCGUAGCUGGUUUGUUAAGUCUCUGGGGAAAUCUUCCGGCUUAACCGGAAGGCGUCUCAGGGAUACUGGCAGACUAGGGACCGGGAGAGGUGAGAGGUACUCCAGGGGUAGGAGUGAAAUCCUGUAAUCCUUGGGGGACCACCUGUGGCGAAGGCGUCUCACCAGAACGGCUCCGACAGUGAGGGACGAAAGCUGGGGGAGCAAACCGGAUUAGAUACCCGGGUAGUCCCAGCUGUAAACGAUGCGCGUUAGGUGUAUCGGUGACCACGAGUCACCGAGGUGCCGAAGAGAAAUCGUGAAACGUGCCGCCUGGGAAGUACGGUCGCAAGGCUGAAACUUAAAGGAAUUGGCGGGGGAGCACAAGGGCGAUUCGCG
rnacentral:rRNA from 1 species